AGUGAACGCUGGCGGUAGGCCUAACACAUGCAAGUCGAACGGCAGCACAGUAAGAGCUUGCUCUUACGGGUGGCGAGUGGCGGACGGGUGAGGAAUACAUCGGAAUCUACUUUUUCGUGGGGGAUAACGUAGGGAAACUUACGCUAAUACCGCAUACGACCUACGGGUGAAAGCAGGGGAUCUUCGGACCUUGCGCGAUUGAAUGAGCCGAUGUCGGAUUAGCUAGUUGGCGGGGUAAAGGCCCACCAAGGUGACGAUCCGUAGCUGGUAUGAGAGGAUGGUCAGCCAGACUGUAACUGAGACACGGUCCAGACUCCUACGGGAGGCAGCAGUGGGGAAUAUUGGACAAUGGGCGCAAGCCUGAUCCAGCCAUACCGCGUGGGUGAAGAAGGCCUUCGGGUUGUAAAGCCCUUUUGUUGGGAAAGAAAAGCAGCAGGUUAAUACCCCGCUGUUCUGACGGUACCCAAAGAAUAAGCACCGGCUAACUUCGUG
rnacentral:rRNA from 1 species